GACGAACGCUGGCGGCGUGCCUAACACAUGCAAGUCGAACGGAGUUAUCCAAGUAGCAAUAUGAGGAUAGCUUAGUGGCGAACGGGUGAGUAACGCGUGAGGAACCUGCCUUAAAGAGGGGGACAACAUCGGGAAACUGAUGCUAAUACCGCAUAACGUGUUUGGGGGGCAUCCCCUGGACACCAAAGGAGCAAUCCGCUUUAAGAUGGACUCGCGUCCGAUUAGAUAGUUGGUGAGGUAACGGCCCACCAAGUCUGCGAUCGGUAGCCGGACUGAGAGGUCGAUCGGCCACAUUGGGACUGAGAUACGGCCCAGACUCCUACGGGAGGCAGCAGUGGGGGAUAUUGCGCAAUGGGGGAAACCCUGACGCAGCAACGCCGCGUGAAGGAUGAAGGUUUUCGGAUUGUAAACUUCUUUGACGAGGGACGAAACAUGACGGUACCUCGAAAACAAGCCACGGCUAACUACGUG
rnacentral:rRNA from 1 species